rnacentral:misc_RNA from 1 species
UUUCCGUAGGUGAACCUGCGGAAGGAUCAUUAUUGAAUAAACCUGAUGUGGUUGUAGCUGGCCCUUUCGGGAGCAUGUGCACACCCGUCGUCUUUAUCUUUCCACCUGUGCACCUUUUGUAGACCUGGAUGUAACACUUUCCGAGGCAACUCGGUCGGGAGGAAUGCUGUCAGCUUUCCUUGAAUGUCCAGGCCUAUGUUUUCAUAUACCCCAAAGAAUGUAACAGAAUGUAUUAUUGGGCCUUGUGCCUACAAACUAUAUACAACUUUCAGCAACGGAUCUCUUGGCUCUC